UAGAAUACAAUAAGUUUGAUUGAUUACAAGUGCUAGAGCAUCAUGAAGAUUGUUAAGAAGUUUGGAGAAAGACUUGUUGAAAUUUGGUCCCAAAUGGGCUAAGAACUCUGAAACAUUGCGUUGCACCACUAAAUGGAUAGUUUAGUGUUGUUUGGGGUUAGAAUAGGUUAUAAUACAUUAAAUUUUAUUGAUUACAAGUUCUAGAGAUGCAUGA
rnacentral:lncRNA from 1 species